rnacentral:rRNA from 1 species
UGGGGAAUUUUGCGCAAUGGGGGAAACCCUGACGCAGCGAUGCCGCGUGGAGGACGAAGGUCUUCGGAUUGUAAACUCCUUUUGUCGGUGAAAAACAUUUACGUGAAUAACGUAAACUGAUUGUAUCCGGCGAAUAAGCCACGGCUAACUUCGUGCCAGCAGCCGCGGUAAGACGAAGGUGGCGAGCGUUACUCGGAUUUACUAGGCGUAAAGCGUGGGCAGGCGGCUCGAUAAGUCUCUUGUGAAAGCC